ensembl:lncRNA
UUUUUAUCUUCUAAAAAUGAUUUAUUAAUACAAUAUGGUAUAGUACACCCCAUAGCAUAGUAUGACUGGCAGAAACCAGAGAAGGCAAAAGUAGAGAAAACACUAAACAAUGAUCCCAUUCCCACAUCUGUACGUGACUGAGUAAGCAGUACAUAAUCACAUUAAACCCUUGCUAAAAUCAUGGUCAGCAAAUUGAAUAAAAUAAAACAUACAAAUGGCAGGAAAUGCAGUUUGUCCCAUCUCCAAGAACUCUAUGAUGCCGUCCCAGGUGCCUUCACUCCAACAACUCCGUCCCAGGUGCCUUCACUGCGACAACUCCAUCCCAGAUGCCUUCACUGCGACAACUCCAUCCCAGGUGCCUUCACUCCAACAACUCCAUCCCAGGUGCCUUCACUGCGACAACUCCAUCCCAGGUGCCUUCACCUUCACUCCGAUAACUCCGUCCCAGGUGCCUUCACUCCGACAACUCCAUCCCAGGUGCCUUCACUCCGACAACUCCAUCCCAGAUGCCUUCACUCCGACAACUCCAUCCCAGGUGCCUUCACUCCGACAACUCCAUCCCAGGUGCCUUCACUGCGACAAC